rnacentral:lncRNA from 1 species
AAAAAAAAAAAAAAAAAAAGAGCAGAGUUAUCUCCCAUUAAAUGCUAUAUUUAAAAAUGUUAGAUUUUAAAAAAGACAUGAAACACAAACAUUGCACAUACCAAAUACUUGGCCUUUAUAUAUAUUAAAUUCACCACAAAGAUUGUAAUGUUUGUAUUAAUCAGGGUUUGAAACCCAUCAACUUCAAUCAUAAAAUGUAUAAAACAAAGGCUUUUUCAUUUGGCAUGUAGGAAACAGACAAUACUUGAUACCAGACAAUACAUAAUGCCACAAAUAAUGAUGAUUUCACUGUUAUGUGUGAUUAAUAAGGCACAUUAUUAUAGUUAUGAAUUAUAACCAUUAUCAUUUAAAAUACAUGAAAGCACUAUGGGUUUAAAGCAAUACAAUUACACAAUGAUGAAUACAAACUGGCUGAACUCAGAUGAUGGGUAGAAUGUAAUACAAAAUGAGCAGAAAUAAUGCAUAGAAAAAGUAUAAAAGGAGUAGAAAUAUUGCAUAGUAAAGUUAUACAAAAUGAGCAGAAAUAAGCCUAUAAUUUUCUGCCUUGACAUUACAAAUGCAAUGUAUUCAGCCUAUGGUAGCAACUCUUAUUCAUCACAAAAUUAAAGAUAUUAAUAUUAGACAGAAACAAUGUGAAUAAUGAAAUUUUCUCCUCAAAUUUAGUUUUCUUCAUAUUUUUUAUUUUAAAUCCACAUAUCUUAACCUACAGUUUUGGAGCUUGCUCA